ACGGGUGCCACUAAUAUUUUUACUAGUUCUCGUGUUAAACAUUUGAUUGUGUAGACCAAAAUGCCCCUAGUUUGUGAGUGCUUCCCGUACAAGACCAAUGUCGUGACACUCUAGUGCCUGUAUCGCUAUAUCGAGAGUAGUAUGCUCAUAUUUAGGGUAUUUUCAGGGGUGAGACCGAAGACAGUCUUGGAAUUAUUCUAUUCUACUCCCUAUGUUACGACAUCAAACUCUCUGUGUUGCAACACAACGACCAGUAUCGAGUUAGC
rnacentral:lncRNA from 1 species